AUUGAACGCUGGCGGCAGGCCUAACACAUGCAAGUCGAACGAGUGGCGGACGGGUGAGUAAUGUCUGGGAAACUGCCUGAUGGAGGGGGAUAACUAUUGGAAACGAUAGCUAAUACCGCAUACUAGGAGAUGGUCCGCCGUUGUAUUAGCUAGUAGGUAGGGUAAUGGCCUACCUAGGCGACGAUACAUAGCCGACCUGAGAGGGUGACCGGCCACACUGGUACUGAGACACGGUCCAGACUCCUACGGGAGUCAGCAGUGGGGAAUAUUGCACAAUGGGCGCAAGCCUGAUGCAGCCAUGCCGCGUGUAUGAAGAAGGCCUUCGGGUUGUAAAGUACUUUCAGCGGGGAGGCGUUACCCGCAGAAGAAGCACCGGCUAACUCCGUGCCAGCAGCCGCGGUAAUUC
rnacentral:rRNA from 1 species